rnacentral:rRNA from 1 species
UGGGGAAUAUUGCACAAUGGGCGCAAGCCUGAUGCAGCCAUGCCGCGUGUGUGAAGAAGGCCUUCGGGUUGUAAAGCACUUUCAGCGAGGAGGAAGGUGGUGAACUUAAUACGUUCAUCAAUUGACGUUACUCGCAGAAGAAGCACCGGCUAACUCCGUGCCAGCAGCCGCGGUAAUACGGAGGGUGCAAGCGUUAAUCGGAAUUACUGGGCGUAAAGCGCACGCAGGCGGUUUGUUAAGUCAGAUGUGAAAUCCCCGGGCUCAACCUGGGAACUGCAUUUGAAACUGGCAAGCUAGAGUCUCGUAGAGGGGGGUAGAAUUCCAGGUGUAGCGGUGAAAUGCGUAGAGAUCUGGAGGAAUACCGGUGGCGAAGGCGGCCCCCUGGACGAAGACUGACGCUCAGGUGCGAAAAGCGUGGGGAGCAAACAGGAUUAGACACCCUGGUAGUCCACGCUGUAAAACGAUGUCGAUUUUGGAGGUUGUGCCCUUGAGGCGUGGCUUCCGGAGCUAACGCGUUAAAUCGACCGCCUGGGGAGUACGGCCGCAAGGUUAAAACUUAAAGGAAUUGACGGGGUCAUAGCUGUUUCCU